UCCCAACCCUUGCCAGGCGUUGGCCUCUCUAGCAUAAAAUCCCAUGUCCUUGAUCCGUUUCAGACCAAGCAACUGGACGAAAAUAUAUGCUUCCCCUGUUUGAUAAUAGUUGAAAUGGUGAUUUCAAGCAGAACUCUAACUGCACGAGCAGGCUCUGGUUGGAUGGAUGGAGAGCCCCCACCAUGGACCGGUUCACACCACAAUGCAAAACACGUCAAACUGUGAUCGAUUCCAUGCCGUGCUCGGGAUUGCCGGCUCACGCUCUCUCUCUCUUUCUUUUGUUACAAGUGCGUUUGGGAACGGUUCCACAAAUUUGAACAACGUUGUCGCUCAGCGAAUGUGAUGAUGAAGGGAGAUUUUGAGCUGCUCCCGGAUUUCCUCCAACUCUGUAGCCGCCCCUUCGCACCCAGUCUAUCUUUUGGGUCCAGAAUCGUACCAUCUAUCAUCGUCACAGCCCCAUUUCUCCACCACAACCAGGACUUAUCAUCUUCUUCGAACCCAUCGCUUGUAACCGAUGUAAUGGCGGGGUCAUGCUAUUUCCCUGCAGGACAAUUGAAGCCUCACGUAGUUGUUAAGAAACCAUCUCCAGUUGCUCUCAACUCCAACAAGCGCUCUUUUCAUGCAGACAUUCGCAACGUAGACCAAGCCUGACGCUAAUAUCCUCGGAAUGUGAACGAUUUGGACUUGGAAGGUACCUUCACCGAGAAUGGAAUAGUUAACCUCCAUGCAAGAUUACCAACCGAUCCUCGUGGGGGCAGGAUGUCCGGCGUUAGGGUACAUGUAUGGCAGGCAUUGCAGGUUCCAUUUGGGAAACCUUAUCGAUGUCUCCACGGCAUCAGAAGCAGCUUGCUGCAAGCAGACUGAGAGUGGCAACUAUGUCUCAGAGCAUGCUACGGUGCAUCACCGAAAGAGUUCAGCAAUGCGUCCUGCGAGGUGCCCAACUGAAUCGGCCCUGAAGUACUUGGAAAGAGAGUUUGCCGAGAAUCCAGAGAGAUGCGCCAAACGGGACCUUGGCCACCUUGAGAUCCGUGCUCCGCACAACAUUCACUUAAAACAAGAGGGUGCAGCUAGGAGGAGAGAAGAAGGCUACACCAAGCCAGAGUUAGAGCAGGAUGUUGACGACGAAACCGUGGCUCAACGAUUAAGGCAAUAACACCUCCGAAUCACAAAUAUCAUCAAAUAUGUCAGGGUGUAGAGAUUUCUUUAAAAAUAUCACAAUUCAGAAGUCGACGGUGAAUGUUGCGAACAGCUGAGACAAAGAAGGGGAAGGUCUUGCCGAAGGGGCUGGCAAGAUCCGGGAGUGGGCUUGGUGCACUCGCUUCGCUACAUGAUCCACACCAGGAUCUGUGUUCUCCGGAAAACACUUUCGGUUCGCCCCUGGAAGCGUGCCUGGACUGUGUCGACCAACAAGACGAACUUAGCUUCCAGGUCGAGCUCACAAACUGUCCAUCGCCGGCGGAGCCUGUGAUCGUUCCGAGUGUGAACUCGUCGAUCAUCGUUGACCAAAACUGCACUUCGAAUGAACCCCUGGAAGAAGACCUUGGAGAUGACAUGGCCGUGGGUUUGAAGGACUUGCAAUAUGAUCAUCCUGAGCCUAGUAACGAUUCGGAUCGCAUCAUGGCCAAGGUUGAAGUCGAAGGAGAAAAGCAGAAUGCACAUGCGAAGGAUGCACACGCGCCUAUUCCUGCAUGGAGGGCCUCUCGGAUCGCGAUGGAGAAAUAAUUGUUGGUGCAAAUUUGUCUGGUCUCACUGGGUUUGAUACGGUGGCAGCCAGGUGCAAUUUCUCGGGAGAUCUGCACCAAGAAGAAUACGUGAGCCAGCAUGAAGAGCCUAUGGACAAUGUGGUCAAAGAAACUUUCGAGCUGAUUCACGCGGCUGAAUGUGGCAAGUUAUCCGUUCCUUGUGUUACGCGCGCACACACACACACCCUUCAUACCCUUCGAAACUAGCGUGGAAUCCUCCGGCCUGAUCAGCUUGGCCUUCUUCUGAGCACGGAUUCUUCCUCCAUGACAGUGCUUAGAUAUCUAGUCAGCGAUGUAUUGACAUGAACCCAAUCCACACUCAUGCAGGCAUGCCAUGCUUUGGCGAUUUUCUUGUACCUCAACAAAUGACCUUCGUUUCGACCUCGGAAGCACAACAGCUGCAUUAAUUAACCGUCUGGCAACCAUGUCAGAGGUAUUGCAGGCUGAAGUUAAGGGUUCUGGGGAAGUGCUUGUGUGUGUGGCUGUGUACAGAGGAGAAACACAAGGUGCUGCUUUGGAAAAACAAAAUCCGUAUCGUUUCGCUGUUUCAUGGGGUCAUCAGCAUUGGCAAGGUUCUCGAGGAAGAGAAAGCUCUGGAGGCGUCGGAGCAGCAGGCACGGCUACCUUGUCGAACCUACCAUUGGUCUCAAAACCAAUUUAAGCAUCGCGGCAAAAACUACCGCAUGAAUCUCGGGUUGCAAAACAAAGUGCUACCGUACUUCGCAUCGGUUGAUGUGAUUACAUGACACAAAUAAUCAAGGCUCUGAUAAAUCAUAGCUCAAAGUUUAGCUUGUGGCAAUGCAUAAAAUUUCGAGGUACUUGUUUUAACUGCAUGUGUGAAAUCUCGGACCAGUUCAGAGAUGUGUGAAUAUUACGUGAAAUUCAUAACAUGUUGCCAAUUGAGGUGAUUUAUAACAAUUCCUGUACAACCCCACAUUGUCUUGCAUAGACCUUUAGUAGCU